rnacentral:rRNA from 1 species
UCAAAAACAUGUCUUAUUGAUUAUAAUUUUAAGUUUGACCUGCCCCCUGAAAAUUUUAAAUGGCCGCAGUAUUAUGACUGUGCUAAGGUAGCAUAAUCAUUAGUUUCUUAAUUAGAAGCUGGAAUGAAUGGUUGGAUGAAAUAAUAAUUGUCUCUAUUUAAUUUUUUUAAAAAUUUAUUUUUUAGUAAAAAAGCUAAAAUAAUUUUGAAAGACGAGAAGACCCUAUAGAGUUUAAUAUAUUAAAUAUUUUAAUUUUAUUGGAAUAUAAAUUUUUAAUUUAUAAAUAUAUUUAAUUGGGGUGAUUGAAAAAUUAAAUAAACUUUUUAUUUUAUAAAACAUUGAUUUAUGAAUAGUUGAUCCAUUGAUUAUGAUUAAAAGAUUAAAUUACCUUAGGGAUAACAGCGUAAUAUUUUCAGAGAGUUCUAAUCGAAGAAAAAGAUUGCGACCUCGAUGUUGGAUUAAAAUUAAUUGUUGGUGUAGAAGUUAAUAAUAUUAGGUCUGUUCGACCUUUAAAAUUUUACAUGAUCUGA